CGGAGAGAUGGCCGAGUGGCCGAAGGCGCACGCCUGCUAAGUGUGUAACCCGGUUUCGGGUUCGAGGGUUCAAAUCCCUCUCUCUCCGCCAU
rnacentral:tRNA from 1 species